CACUGCUAGCGUUCUAGAUUCCCCCAAGUCCUCCCACUGCUAGAGUUCUAGAUUCCUCCCAAGUCCUCCCACUGCUAGAGUUCUAGAUUCCUCCCAAGUCCUCCCACUGCUAGAGUUCUAGAUUCCCCCCAAGUCCUCCCACUGCUAGAGUUCUAGAUUCCCCCCAAGUCCUCCCACUGCUAGAGUUCUAGAUUCCCCCCAAGUCCUCCCACUGCUAGAGUUCUAGAUUCCCCCAAGUCCUCCCACUGCUAGAGUUCUAGAUUCCCCCCAAGUCCUCCCACUGCUAGAGUUCUAGAUUCCCCCCAAGUCCUCCCACUGCUAGAGUUCUAGAUUCCCCCAAGUCCUCCCACUGCUAGAGUUCUAGAUUCCCCCAAGUCCUCCCACUGCUAGAGUUCUAGAUUCCCCCCAAGUCCUCCCACUGCUAGAGUUCUAGAUUCCCCCGAAGUCCUCCCACUGCUAGAGUUCUAGAUUCCCCCAAGUCCUCCCACUGCUAGAGUUCUAGAUUCCUCCAAGUCCUCCCACUGCUAGAGUUCUAGAUUCCCCCAAGUCCUCCCACUGCUAGAGUUCUAGAUUCCCCCCAAGUCCUCCCACUGCUAGAGUUCUAGAUUCCUCCAAGUCCUCCCACUGCUAGAGUUCUAGAUUCCCCCAAGUCCUCCCACUGCUAGAGUUCUAGAUUCCCCCCAAUCCUCCCACUGCUAGAGUUCUAGAUUCCUCCAAGUCCUCCCACUGCUAGAGUUCUAGAUUCCUCCAAGUCCUCCCACUGCUAGAGUUCUAGAUUCCCCCCAAUCCUCCCCCACUGCUGGACUUCCCCCAUGAGAUGCACUAGGGAUUCAUGAGGGCUAUCAACCACUUCAGUAGGCAAGUUAUACAACAAGCAGUAGCCUAGAAUAGCUUACUACUUCAUUUUACUCUGGCCUCCAUGAGAGAACAUAGAAAACUAUCAACUAACAUUAUUUCAACAUUGGGUGCAGGGCAUCAACUAGAUACACUGUGUGUGUCUGAAAAGGCACCCAAUUCCCUAUAAAGUGCACUACUUUGACCAGAGCCCAAUGACACCCUAUAUAGUGCACUACUUUUGACCAGAGCCUAUGGGGCUUUAUAUAUAGGAAACAGAGUGGCAUUUCAGACACGCACACAGCCUGACAAAUAAAAAAGAUCUAAUUUAUUCACACAAUACACCAAGGACAGUUGAACAGUAAAAAUGUAAAAACACCAUAAAUCGAUCAACCAUGAGAUGUAGCAAGGCCAUGUCCAUUCCAGCCUGAUACUAGUUCAGUUGGAAACGUUUUAUCCAGGACAACACACCAUGGUGGAAAUAAAACGCAACAUUGCAUGCCUCCAAAAUGCCACCCCUAUUGCCUAUAUAGUGCACUACUUAGUCAAAGGCAGUGCACUAUAUAAGGAAUAGGGUUCCAUUUGGAGCACACACACACGUCCAUAACAACAGAUUGAUUCAACAGUUACUUUCAGAGGACUAGUCUAUACAUGAAGGAUUUGUAUCCAAAUCUCUAUACAUCACAGUU
rnacentral:lncRNA from 1 species